rnacentral:rRNA from 1 species
UACGUAGGGGGCAAGCGUUGUCCGGAUUUAUUGGGCGUAAAGCGCGCGUAGGCGGCAAGGUAUGUCGUGCGUGAAAUCUCCCGGCUUAACUGGGAGGGGCCGUGCGAAACUGCCUGGCUUGAGGUCGGAAGGGGAAAGUGGAAUUCCGGGUGUAGUGAGUGGAAUACGUAGAUAUCCGGAGGAACACCAGCGGCGAAGGCGGCUUUCUGGUCCGAUUCUGACGCUGAGGCGCGAAAGCGUGGGGAGCGAUCCGG